rnacentral:lncRNA from 1 species
CUGUUUUAUUACUCCAGAGAAGUGUGUUUUAUUCAUCUGCCUGUGGAGUCCGGCUAUUAAUAGGGGUCUAAAGUGCACCAAAUUGGCCACUGGCAGUCCCAUUAAGAUGUAAGCUGCAGUUCAAUUUCAUUUGGGAUGUUUCAUGGGAAGGCAAUGAAUAAAUGAUGAAUAAAUCAGAGAGAGCAAUGCAAACUGACCUACGCUGGAGGAAGGAGGAACUGCAAAAAAGAUCUUUCCUAUUUUCUGGGACCCUUCAUAUCAGGCUAAGGGUGAAGGACUGGGGGAUUGGAGCCUAUAGUAGAGUUCUCUUCCAAUCUAUGAUUGCUGCUUAAUAAUCCACGUGUGUGAAGAAUUCAGAAGCCUGGAGAAAGAAAUACCUUCUCACCAUCUGAAGUCCAUGUGCUGCUUUACUUUCCAAAUCUGGAUCCAGAGAAUCCAAAACAAACCAUUCACUGCACACCUCGCCUUGCUGUAAUUUACAUUUGGCAUCUGGAUGCAGCUGUACUGACUCUUCCCAGGUAAGAAAAGGUCAUAUUCAUCAUUCUAUUUUUAAAUAUUCCUUAUGUUUUUGGUUUCUUGUAGUACACAUCCUACCAGCCCAUUAAACUAUCAUCUUUGUUGUGUUUCUAUGAAGUUUACCUUUU